AACGAACGCUGGCGGCAUGCCUAACACAUGCAAGUCGAACGAGACCUUCCGGUCUAGUGGCGCACGGGUGCGUAACGCGUGGUAACCUACCCCUAGGUUCGGAAUAACUGCCCGUAAGGGGUGCUAAUACCGGAUAAUGUCUUCGGACCAAAGAGUUAUCGCCUUUGGAUGGGCCCGCGUUGGAUUAGCUAGUUGGUAGGGUAAAAGCCUACCAAGGCGACGAUCCAUAGCUGGUCUGAGAGGAUGAUCAGCCACACUGGGACUGAGACACGGCCCAGACUCCUACGGGAGGCAGGAGUGGGGAAUAUUGGACAAUGGGCGAAAGCCUGAUCCAGCAAUGCCGCGUGAGUGAUGAAGGCCUUAGGGUUGUAAAGCUCUUUUACCCGGGAUGAUAAUGACAGUACCGGGAGAAUAAGCUCCGGCUAACUACGUG
rnacentral:rRNA from 1 species